UACGUAGGGUGCAAGCGUUGUCCGGAAUUAUUGGGCGUAAAGAGCUCGUAGGCGGUCUGUCGCGUCGGCUGUGAAAACUCGGGGCUCAACUCCGAGCCUGCAGUCGAUACGGGCAGACUAGAGUGCGGUAGGGGAGACUGGAAUUCCUGGUGUAGCGGUGAAAUGCGUAGAUAUCGGGAGGAACACCUGUGGCGAAAGCGGCUACCUGGACAGACACUGACACUGAGGCGCGAGAGCGUGGGGAGCGAACAGG
rnacentral:rRNA from 1 species